UCGAAGCGGAAGGGCGUCGGUGGGCGGAGGAAGAGUGAAAAGCCUCCCCCACCCGUCGUUCUCAAGAAAAGGAGAUUGGCAGCCAAUGCGAGGGAGAGAAGGAGAAUGGACGGGCUAAAUGACGCUUUCGAAAAAUUGAGGGAUGUCAUCCCGUCGCUUGGGUCGGAUCACAAACUUUCGAAAUACGAGACUUUACAAAUGGCUCAAACAUACAUCAAUGCACUAAGGGCAAGACUGACCGAGGAGUCGGGAAGCGAAUGAGUGAGACCUGACAAUACUCCAUCCAUCCAUCCAACAGAGAUUUAAUAAAAUUACAGCUUUAAGCAAGGUUUAGUAAUUUAUUUAUUUUUAUCAAAGUCUAAUUUUAAGGUUGACGAAACACACAACCAACAACCGCAUCAUGUCUCACUUUAUGUUUUCUUUUCGACAAAGACAUGUUCGCUUGUUUGUGAAAGUACACAAGUUAAAAUUUUGCUUAAUACAUAUGUAAUAUUCGGCAUUAAUUAUCUUUAAGAUUUAUACAUAGUUUUACAAUUUGUAAAUGAUUGUAAAGUAUUUCCUACAUACAUACAUGAUAAUUUCGACAAAUGUCCAUUGUAUUAUUAAAAUGAACAAAUAAAAUGCCAUGUUAACUAUGUUUGGGGAAAAUGA